CAAACGUUUCUUGGCCACAUUUUCGAUUCGUACGUUGGUGAGUUAGCAUCUAAAACUUUUGUCUUUUGUUCAGUAAUAUUUACUUGAAGGUUUUUAUUACGUUUGGUAAUGUGUUUGGAAAUCAUGACCAUGAAAGGAAACUAUCAGAAGGAAAUUAAGACCACGCCUGAAAAUAAGAAAUGGUCCAAAUCCAAGAGGAGAACAUAUCUGCGUGCGAAUAUGGGGAAAGCCAGUGUCCUAACACACAGUUGCGGGACAACACGACGGAUCCGGUCAUCCAGGAGGUCUCCGCUGAAUCCACACCUUGUGGACAGUGUUGCUGCUUGGAAGGAUCACAAUCGUUCUGUACCAUAUGGUGCCAUGGCACCGAGAAACACCACACAGUAUUUAAUGGACUUGGUGUACGCCGAGCGCCUGGAUGUUUCAACGGAGGCAUGUGAUGUAAGCCCUGAUUUCUCAAAGCAGAAUCAUGUUUCAUUUCAUGAGAGCAUUUUCUCAUGGUCAGACUCUGAUUUCGACAGAUCGUUGGACUUUCAACAGCGGGACUUCGAGAACGAGCUCUUCAGGAAUGAAAUCUGACGUAGUCAUCGAAACCUGACUUGAUGUUGUCGCAACGAGACGGCCGGGCAGCUGUGAGACCAUAGACCGUAAUAUCAUUGCGCAGACUCCAACUCAGGGAGGCAGGAGGCUCUGCGUCACAGCUGCGUGAUGACGUGCCUGUGCCACGCCCCCAGCGCGGUCACUAGUACCACGUGACCAGCAGGUAAACCCACUCCACUCUUUCAGGUGUACGUGGUGUAAGUGCAAAGUAACGUGCUGUCGCAAUGUAAUUUGUGAAAAUGUGCAUGCACUGUUCUGCCAUCGGAUGCAUGUGUUUGAGAGACUUUUACAGGUUGCUGAUCCUCCUUGGUGGCUCUCAGCCAGACUGUGCAACGCACUCAUCCUUGGGACAAAGUCGCAUAGCUUCCUGGUCAUCACAGUGUUGGGGCGUUCUCAAAAACCCAUGUGGCCAACAGGUGCACGUUCCUGACUGACUACUACCACCAGGCGGCGCUACAUUGCCACACAAGAGUUAUAGCUGUUUGGCAGAUGUUCGGGAGGGAGCAUUGAAAAGGAUUUGAGAAUCAGCAGUCACAUCCUGGAUGACUUGACACAGCCUUCCACCCUGAGGCCAAACACCAGUCAGUAAAAUAAGAUAAUGGUAUGUCCCCUUAGAAGCAAUGCUGUUAUUUUUGCAAAACAAGCAUCUUAAAAACAAAAAUUUAAUACAAUCUGCAAACCUGGUACAGGAGCUUUUGCUAAAUAAUCACUGAUAUGCAUAAAAACAUGCAUGUGUUUAGAAAGAGAAAAACUGAACCUGCUUUGACCUUCACAGAGAUGGGAAGAGACAGGUGCCUGUGGUGUUGUGGAUGGACACACCCAUGGACUGGACUGGUCAUGUUCUUAUUAGUUUGAUAAAAGCAAACCUGCUAUUCAAUUUCUUCCUGCUGUACUGUUCGACAACCAUAAUAAGUCCAGUCAGAGUUUAACUGAUCCAGUGUUGGUGUUCAAGUCAACACAAAGCAUUUUGCAGUGAUUUAACUUUUGCAAUGAGACAUACUUCUAAGUGAAAUAGGAUGUUUAACAAGAAAAUGUUUUGGGACGUGACUUGAUUUUUUCAGUAGGGAAUUGAUUGGACCUUGAAAAGUUGUCAGGUGGCAGGAGAGCAAGGACCGAAUAUUAAGAUAAUUUGGUGGUGUCAGGCAACAAUGAAAGCUGUUUCAAGCGCAAAUUACAAAGACAAACCUAUACCGACAAAUAAUAAGCAAUGAUGAACCUUGCACAGUAAGACCAGUAACAAUUUAACCAGUAACCAAAAGACACAGUAACCAGUAAUAAUGAAAGUAAAUAGUUAUUUUUUAUUUCAUGUGACUUUAAAUGUUAGUUGUGAUGGCUUUGUUAAAGGUGCACUCAGUAUUGUUUUUCCCAUUAAAUUUUUUUUUUUUACUCCUAAAGAAAUGAAUUGUAAUUUUGAAACAUGUAUAAAAUCAUGACCACUCACUUGAGAUGAAGACUCUAGUCAUAUCAGUAACCUUAUAAAAGCUGUUUUAUUCUACAUGGGGCAGGGGUGCCCUCAUGGAGGCUGCCAUUUUAGAAUCACAUGACCAACUGAAUGCUACUCGCUUAAUCUCAGUAACGUCUUGUUAUUGGACACUUUCACUCUUGAAUUAAUCAUGGCUGAUUGUGAAUAGUGAAUUUCUACAAUGGCAUCUGAAACUGAAAACAAUUGAUUUGGAAUGAUGCUGCAUCCACACUACUAGGUGUCACUGUAAGCCCAAGAUGACACAAGCAAAAAGUUACUGAGUGCACCUUUUAAAGGAAUAGUUCACCCAUAAAUUUAAAUUCUUUGAAUUAAAUUUGAAUUAAAUUUUUUUUUUAUAUUAAAUUAAACUUUGAUCAUUUACUCACCCUCAUGACGUUCCAUCCAAAGUGAAUUUCUUUCUUCUGCAGAACACAAAGGAGGAAUUUGAAAGAAUGUUCCAUUCAUUGAAUUCAAUGGCAGUUGAUUGUGACUUAUUAUAACUUAAAAGUGUCAUAGAAGUAGUCCAUACAACUUGUGCAUAUUUAAAUAGGUUUUGGUGGAAAAAACAACCUGAAAUUUAAGUUAUUAUACAGUGACAGUUUUGACUUCUGUAAUAGCAGAUCACUUCGAGUGCAUAAGAAAAGGUUGUUCAUGUGUACACAUGAGAAUCUGUACUGUUUUUGCUUGGAUAAGCAUCAGUCAUUGUGAGCCAUUUUUGGAUGACCAUUUAAAUCUGCAUUGAAAUCAGGCAUAUUUUAUGUGACAGAUGCAGUUGUCUUUGAAAUCAAGCUGUUUUCCUUUAUGUGAGCUUAUGGAAGGCAAUCAGGUAUGUCAAGAGCAGUGACGAUUUCUCCGAGGAGGCAAAGGAGGCAGUGCCUCCUCAAAAAAUAAACGAGUGUACAUAAAUAAAACAAAUAGAAUAUUACGAAAUGUGAGCUCAAAUAAUGUGUAUAGCAGUCAUCUUUCUAAAGUCACUCUGUCAAUGAGCGAAACAAGCGGAUAAAGUUUCAGAGGGAGGCAGCAUCUGUCAAGCCUCCCUUCAGCUCAUUGCAAUACAGCAAAAAGUAAUGUGAGGGGAGACAUUGAGUCUGAUCAGGGCUGAUUCGUUAAAUAUGCUGUCAGUCAAUCAAUCCAAAAAUGCCUGACUUUCAUACUCUCAUCCUCACAGCGGGUCUCCGCAGAUCGCUAUGAAAGGGAUGAACUGGUGUCAGUGGAGAAACUAUUUGCACAGUAAACAACUAACCGGCAUGGACAACAGCACUUUUUGUCACGUCCAAAUCAUAAUGAACUUGAAAUGACUUGAAACAUGAAAUGGUGUGCUGGUGAGCCAUGUGAGCGCUUGCUCUUAAAUAUGGCAGCUCGUAAAUAAGUAUUUCAUUAUUAUUUAGAGUGUAUGUUAAAAGGUAUUUCAUAUGCCUUCCUGUACAGAAAUCUGAUAUAUGGCAAUUAACAUAUACAGUAUAUAAAACUAUAGUUCAUUUUGUUUGGGUAUAUAUGCGCAUAUAGCCUAUUCAAAUGAGAUGAUAAUAAACUAUGAUUUAAGGAAAAUAAAGGUUACAUAUAGGACAACAGCCAUUUUUAGUAUUUUGUUAUUUUGUUAAUAUGUUGUUGCAUUUAUGAGCAAGUAUGCAACUUUUUUUAUUUCAUGUAUUGUUAUGUAGGCCUAUUUUUUAUAUCAUAUGUUGUGUUAAAUCAGAAUUCAGAUUUGUAUGGGUUUAACCUGAAAGCUAUGUGAAUGUCAAAUGGAAUUGAAAUAGGAAUUUCCACUGGACUGAGAUGGUACGUGUGUUCAGGGUCUGUGGUGCUUUCUACUCCAAGAUCCCUUAAAAAACACAGUUGUGACAUGACAAAUUUGAGACUUGGAUCCGCUGAAAAACUGAUAUUGAUUUGAACGCUUUGAACUGAAUAUUUUGCCUUGACCCAUUUGAGGCCCUAAAUCUCAAUCGCUGUGGCCAUUUUAAUGAAUUUUUGUACUGGAAAUAGGCCACGGGUGUGGGGAGCAGGGGCUUUGACGUGAGCACGCGCUCCUCCGGGAGCAACUUUCCCCUUCAACCUUGCCUCAUUAGUCUAACGGGUCAGUUGCAGAGCUGUUGUGUCACAUCUAUUUCAGUCCACCUAAAGUCCAAUGUGCCCCCUCAACUUAUCUUCCUGUAUUCGCCAUUACCCCCUCGCCACCCAAGAGACAAGAUGGAAAAGAUUUGAUUGGCCCCUGCCCCAUCGUCAUCAGGAAGACAAGUUGGCAAGGAGGAAUUGGACACUGAUGUGGCUGGCUAACUAUGUCAAGGACGCUAGAACCCAACCUGGUACAGUUCACCUGUGAGAGACAUGAGAGAUGAACUGACCCACUAAACAGCUACUUGCAUACUCAGUCCUGCUCUUCAGUCUUCUGAUUCCCUUCAAAUGAAUGUAUUUAUAAGUUGGGGUUCAAAAGUCUGGGUUCACAUUGGAAAUCUAGAGUACAAAAUCUAAUUUAAACUUGGAAAUAAGGUUUUGGACAAAUAAGCAUUAUGAUGUAAAAUGAAUAAGAAAUCUUGAAGAUAGGGGGCCUGGGUAGCUCAGCGAGUUUUGAUGCUGACUACCAUCCCUGGAGUCACGAGUUUGAAUCCAGGGUGCGCUGAGUGACUCCAGCCAGGUCUCCUAAGCAACCAAAUUGCCCCAGUUGCUAGGGAGGGUAGAGUCACAUGGGGUAACCUUCUCGUGGUCGCGAUUAAGUGGUUCUCGCUCUCAAUGGGGCACGUGGUAAGUUGUGUGUGGAUCGCGGAGAGUAGCAUGAGCCUCCACGUGUUGUGAGUCUCCGCAGUGUCAUGCACAACGAGCCACAUGAUAAGAUGAGUGGACUGACUGUCUCAGAAAGCGGAGGCAACUGAGACUUGUCCUCCACCACCCGAAUUGAGGUGAGUAACCACGCCACCAUGAGGACCUAGUAAGUAGUGGGAAUUGGGCAUUCCAAAAUUGGGGGGAAAAGAAGUCAUGAGGAUUUUCUAAAAAUUCUAUGUCACUAAUCAAAUACACAAAUUAGUGAGAUUCAACAUGUUAUCUGACCUUUUGUUUGUACAAAUGGUGAGAUUUCUUUGCUUUCUUUGAAGCACACAAGAUGCUCUUUGGAAAAUUCUCAAAUCAUGCUGUAUACUGUAACAUGGAUCAUCAGGUGUUGCACAAACUUGUGCAGUCCAUGCCAGCUUGAGUGCAUGUUGUCAUAGAAUUUCAAUGUUUGUUAAAGCCAACAUGAUCACACAGGAAGUGAGUAUGUUGCUUCAGAAUGUUCCAGUACACUGAUAUUGACCCCAUUAUGCUGAGUUACUGACAAGUGCCAUCUCCCAUCAGAGACUGUAUUUUUGCAUCGGUUCAAGUGUAUUCACCUACUCCUGUGAUGCGACAGAUAGACGGUGUUCUGCCAGCAAUGUGGGAGACCUGGGUUCUUACCCUGUGUUGAAACCAGGAAGUGAUCACUUUUGCAUAAACAGUGACAAGUACAAUUUGGAGGUUCCAUUUUAUCUCUAAGAAGUAAUUUUUACUCCACUGACAGUUAGUUUUAGGGUUUGGGUUUGGGAGUAAAGUUUGUUAAAGCUGAAGUGUGUCAUUUCUGCGCCAUUAGCACCACCAAAUGGAACAGCAAAAAUGUACAUUGUUUUCUAAACAGCUUUCUGAAUACGCCACCCAUCCUCCUUUGAUUAAAGAAACAGAUAGUCCCGCCCCCAACUCGAAACACACAGGUCGCUCAAAACAAAGGAAUUUUCAUAGCGCCACAGAGACAGAGAGAGAGUAUUUGCAGUUUUCAAGAAAAUUAACCUUUAGUUGUCUCUGCAUAUUAAGCAGAGAUAGGAGAAAUUAUUUUAACACCGAAAAAGUUACACACUUCAGCUUUAAUUACAUUUCUCUUCACUGUGUUACAUCAUUUACAUCUAAAAACAACUUGCUCCUUUGUGGGCAUUUCUUCUGGGAACUUGAGCUCACAUGUGCCCUUACGUUUAAAAACACUUCCCACUUCAGCCACUGGAGGCAGUGCUUUAAGUUUCAGUAAGUACAGUCAAAGUCCUUUUCGGCGGCCAUCUUUGGAAUGCUCCUGGGCUGGCUGGGCAGCUAUUUUCAAUGUAAGCAAGUGGUAUAAAAGUACAGGUCCUGUCUACUUGAAUGGGGUAGACUGAAAUCUGUAAAAGGGUUGGUCAAGAUUGCGAUCAAAGAACAUAUUUAAAAUCAGCAGUUAAAUCUGACAAUAAAUGUUUUUUUUUUUAAUUUUUUUAGUUCAGAUCACGAUUAAAAACCCCCCGCCAUUUUUCAGGCUGGUUCAGCUAAUGUCCGUAUCUGAAAGCUGAUUGGCUCUUUUACCUGUAAGGCGUUACUUCCUUCUCCACAUCUGUUGGCCGUUGGCUGUUCCAAAUUCUCCCACCCGUUUUAUUAACAGAGGCUGGUCUCUGCUAAAGUGUCUCUGGUACAGUGCGAGUUCAUCUCAAGAAAAGUUAACCUACUGUUGAAUUCAGUGUGAGAUCAGUCUUUUUAAGCAAUUAACAAAUAUCUAAUAUUCAAUAAAUAUUGUUUAAAAACUACGCAUAUCUGUAGCUGACACUCUGAGCUGUAUAACAAUGACAGUUUAGGUUGGAAAAAAUUGCAUAUUAACUGACAGAGCUUGCUAAAGUCACACAAAAAGAUCACAGAUAGUCUACACAAUUUCUAACACUUUUGGAACACAUUUAGCAAUUUUCCAAUUAAGUAUUUGACCUGUAAUAUUUUGUUCUUAUUUCCCAACAUGUUUACUUAUUUAAAAAUAAUUCUAUACCCCAAAAAUAUCCACUUUGAAAAAUAUCAGUUUUUCUUAGAAUAGCAAAAAUGCAACGAUGGCAUAAUUAUUUAUUCACACAAUGGAGCCUAUUCAGUAAAUCAUAACUAUUCCAAAUGAUUUUCAGCUGUUUUCUGUUCUGUUCCGGCAUUUUAAAAUGUCUUUGUUGUAUGGUAUUCAUGGCAUAUUAAAUAUACAUUACACAGAGAUGGGUAUUUUUUAUUAUUUUGAUUAUGACAGCAAUUAAAUCAUUGAUAUCAAUGGUCCUUGAAAAGUCACAUUUCUUAACUGUUCAGGGAUUCACCCCUACCACUUGUAAAAAUGUUAUUUUCAUAUACUUUAUAGUGAUGAAUUGUGUUGUGAAUUUAGAACUUUCACUUACUGUCUAAGCAUUGCUGUAACAUUUAUUUAUUUAUUUUUUUAAUUCAGCCCAAAAUAAUAAUAAUAAUAACCAGUGGCUUCCUGAAACCACUUUCAAGGAGGAUCAAUAUCAAUGCUUGGGUCUCUCAGGGGUAAAGCAAAAAAAAAAGACAUUCUGAAAUGCAUGUUAAUUUUUAAAUUAAACUCUUUAUUGUAAAUUGUUACACCGCUUAUAUAAUUUGUAAUGAAAAGAACUGUUAAAAUAAAAAGAAAAGGAAUUGCAAUAAAAAAAAAUUUCACAUACAA